ensembl:snoRNA small nucleolar RNA SNORA41
UUCCACAGCGCCGGGUCUGCAGCUGUUCAUGGUGGCACUUGUGGCAUUCCUCUGUGGGAAAGAAAUUGUUACACGAUUACACACCUCUGUCUCUGCAAAACAGAGAGUGGGUAUCUGUGUGACAAACACAA